GUGAGUAAGGGGUCAGGCAGCACCAAGCAAGGUUGGAGGAUGAGCACAGUGAGGACCCACAGGGCCUAUCAACUGUGUUAAGAUAAACACCAAAUCCUGCGGCUGGGCAUGGUGGCUCACACCUGUAAUCCCAGCACUUUGUGAGGCUGAGGCGGGAGGAUCACCUGAGAUCGGGAAUUCGAGACCAGCCUGGCCAGCAUGGAGAAACCCCGUCUCUACUAAAAAUACAAAAUUAGCUGGGCGUGGUGGCACACGCCUGUAAUCUCAGCUACUUCGGAGGCUGAGGUAGAAGAAUCGCUUGAACCAGGGAGGCGGAGGUUGCGGUGAGCUGAGAUUGCGCCAUUGCACUCCAGCCUGGGCAACAAGAGCGAAACUCCGUCUCAAAAAAAAAAAAAAAAAAACCCUAGAAAGCCCCAGGAAGUCAAAGAAGGGCGUCAGUGCAGAGCAAUGCGCCAGCUCUUGGUUGCCGUAUUCCUGGUGCUACAAUAAAAGUUUGUUGACCAUGUGCACUCAGGUGGGAAUCAGAGGCUCAAGAGAAAAGCUAAAACCACCUGGAAGCUAAGCCUUGUCUAACCAAAUCUAUUGAGUCUCCCUCCAGCUAACUGAGGGGUCAGAUGCCACUCAUUUCUGUUUGGGAACAGUCAUUUGCUUUAACUCUCAGCCUCUUGCUGCAGCCAUGCUGCCUUCCCCUCAGUGUCCUCCUUCCUGCCACAGUAAGUCACUCUGGAGUGCCACGCUCCACUUAAAAAUAAACACCUUCUGUCUCCAUCCUGGCACAGUUUCAGCUUAUUUAGCAUUCUAACAUAUGUCGUCUGUUUUCCCAAACAAUCUAACAUGAGCAUAGCACGAUGGGGUUGAUAAUUUGGGCAAAUGAGAAACAGCCUGCCAUCAGCACAGACACAGUGACAUUUGAUUUGCUAUCGGUAGAUUCCAUUGUGUUCUCUCUUCUCAUCCUUGGAUGAUAAACACAGAAAAAGACUGCAAGAUUUCCAGCCCUGGCUCUGUGGCAGAGAAUAAGGUCUGGAGGCAGGGAACCUAAGGCUGCUUCAGGCUGACUUCUUAGAACUAAGUUGAAAGGAAAACCUUAACCUUCCAUGCCUAAGUAACAAAAGGACCACAGGCUACUCCCUUUGACCUUUUCUCCAGGGCAAAUGGGAAAUUGGCUGUUCUGCAACAAAUCAGACUGAUUACCGGUCAAGUCUUCGUUUGCAACUUUGCAACUUCUCUCCAGCCUCUGAAAGGUUACUGUCCACAACCCAUCAGACUGAUUGCAGGCCGAGUCUUCAUUUGCAUAGAAGUAUAACUUUGUAGCUUCAUCCUAGCCUGUGACUGCUCCUUUAGGAACCAAUCAGAUGUUUGCACAGGAGGGUGACCUUUGUAACUUCUCUUCAGCCUCUGGUUGGCUGCUUUCUGCAACCAAUCAGAUUGAUUGUGGGCUACCACUUCACUUACCUGAGAUGAGCAAGAAGUGGCCAAUGGGAAACUUCUAGGGGGUAUCUAGACCCAAGAAGAUUCUGUAUCUGGGCUCUUGAGCCACUGCGGCUCAGUCCACUCCCACACUGUGGAGUGUACUUUCAUUUUCAAUAAAUCCCUGCUUUCGUUCUUUUGUUGCUUCAUUCUUUCUUUACUUUGCUGGGCAUUUUGUCCAGUUCUUCGUUCAAAACACCAAGAACCUGGACAGCUUGCAGUUAUGACCCUCUACCGGUGACGUAUCUUGGCAAGCCAGCCAGGAGGAAAGGUUGAAACCUAAUCCCCACUGUGAUGGAAGCAAGAGGUGGAAACUUUGAGAGGUGAUGAGGUCAUGGGGCAGAGCCCUUAUGAUUGGGAUCAGUGCCCUUAUACACAAGGCCCUGGGAGAGCUUCCUCGUCCUGUUCUGCCACGUGAGGACACAGCAAGAAGCCGCCAUCUGUGAAGCAGGAAGCAGCCCUCACAGACACCAAAUCUGCCGGCCCCUUGACCUUGGAGUUUCCAGCUUCCAGAACUGCGAGAAAUAAAUGUCUGUGGUUUGUAGGUCACCCAGUCUGUGGGAUUUCAUAAUAGCAGCCCAAGUGGACUAAGAGAGUGGUAAAAUUAAACACAGCAAUUACACACAUUUGGGGUCUCCCAUAUGACAGGCAAGUAUUCUUUGUUAUCAAAAUCCAAAAUCCAAGACUCAAGGGCUGCAGGAGCCAUCUCUGCCCAUCCCCCACGUUCAUCUUUUGGCAUCUGUCCCCCUCCUCCCAUGGGGCUUACUUCUAUUUUUAUUAUUUCUGGCUCUUACCUCAGGGCCCUUGCACUUGCUGUUCCACUUGCCAGGAAUUCUCUUCCCUGCUUGUCUUAAAACUGAUUCUUCUCAUCCUUCAGUGUCCAUAAGAAGUGUGGCUUCCUUAGGGAGUGUUUCUCCUUCCACCCUUGAUGAGCUGGUUGCCCCCCUCCCUCACUCACUACUGAGUCCCCAGGGUGGGGAACGCAUCUGUACUGACCAUUACUGCACCCCAUUGCAUAGUCCUAAUGCACAGUAGAAACUUGAUAAAUGUUUCCUUCCUUCAUUCAACAAAUAUUUACUGAGCACUGACGGUGUGCCAGGCAUGACAACAAGUGUUUAAAAUACAUCAGUGCUCAAAACAGCCAAGAUCCUCUACUCUCAAAAAGUGUAAAUAUUUUUUUCAAAUCAAUGACCGAGCCCGCUGACCAGAACCCCAGACACUGAGUAGCUAAGCAGAAAGCAGCUGCAAGGGCAAUGCAGGUGAAGGGAAGAACAAGCCGAUGGCCCAGAAGGCAGGAUGAGAAUCCGAGAUCCACUCUCCAUGAUCUGCCAUGAGUUCCACCAGAGGCCUGGCCAUGCCUUGGUUUCCCCCAGCCCACAGCCUGCAAAUAGCUCCUCGAAACCCUUGGGGUGUUAUGGCCCCUGCUCAUCCUCCUGAGGGCACAGGCAGCGAACUGAGAACCCCUGUGAAUAGCACUCUGGAAAAGUCAAGUGCCCUCCACCUGCUGAAUCACACUUGACUUUUGCUAAAAUCAAGACAAUUACAAGAUUGUUCCUGAUCCUAUUUAGUACGGCUGGAUGGCCCUUGAGCCAAAUUAGAGGGAGGAUGGGCCUGGAAUGAGAGAGGAUGAGAUAGGUUCCAUGAAGCUCCCAUAAGAAUUUCACUCUUGAGGCGAUGCCACAGCCCUGGCAGGCUGCACAGAAUAAAAGUCCACCUUGGUUAGAUGCUUCACCUGUUUCUAAAGGAAACUGUACUCCAUCAUUGUUCAGGAACUUAAAGCAUUCAUUUAAAAAGUAAUAGCAAACACUCAGUAAAAGCACACUUUGACCACCCACUCUUCAGACCAGGGCCCCACCCGUUUCAGAAAUAACCAUUCUUACCAAAUUAGUGCAUGCCUCUUCCAGAAUUUUCUAUGCAUUUACAUACACAUGUAUUGUUUAAUUUUUUUCUUGGUUUUGUUUUAUAUAAAUGAGUUAUAUUGUCAUUUCGGUUCAAAAGCUUUUCUUCCUCUACAUUACAUUCUAUCUUGAAAGUCUUAUUAGUACAUAUAUAUGCUUUUUUUUAAUUUUUAGAAAUGGGAUCUCGCUUUGUCACCCAAGCUGGAGUGCAGUGGUGUGAUCAUAGCUCACUGCAGCUUUGAACUGCUGGGCUCAAGCGAUUCUUCCACCUCAGCCUCCUGAGUAGCUGGGACUACAGGCGAGCACCAACACACCUGGCU
rnacentral:lncRNA from 1 species